CGUGUGCAAUAACCUGGCGAGAGGGCAAUUCCAAGUGCAGAAGAAACAGGAAGACGGCUGGGGGAAAGGGGGAGUCCAGACAUCAAUCAUUUAGCCGCAAUCUGCGAGCUGAAGUUAGUCCAGUGUGUUUAGCAGUCUGUCACUUACAAAAUGCUUUCCUACAAAUGUUCUCUCUCAGUCCUCAAAACAACCCGGUGAGGCGGAUGUUAUCUCCUUCUCACAGCGGAGGAAUGGACAGGGUGGCAAGACCAAGUAACUGCUCCAAGGUCCCAGGCUGGGCGGCGGAGCCCGGCUCGGUCAGACGCGGAUCCAGGCCGGACUCCACGUCUUCCUGCUCCGAAACUGAGGGCCAGUGGAGGCACAGGGUGUAAGCAGUGCUUCUCCAUCCGGAAUGUGCCGAUGCAUCCACCUGGGAAACUUGUUACAACACAGAUGCACAUUCAGUUGAUCCAAGGUGGGUGAGGAAACGGGGACAAAUGCCAGAUUCCUGAUCAGAUUAAAGGCUGGACAGAGAUGCGUCCAUCAGAACCAGAUGAACAGAAGUCAACAGAUGCAAUGUCUAUCCAUCAUGUAGGUUGCCCACAAAAUCAAGAUGGCCAGGAAGCAGCUGGUAUUUACACCUGGGGCUCUCCCCUUGCCCUCACUUGGGCAGAGGCAGAGAAAGAACGUUGCCCAGCAACACUUUGGGGAGUUCCCCCUCACACACACAUUCCAUGAUAAUCCACUUCAGUUGUUAUGAUUUGGGCAAGUUGCCUCCAAGGAUAACUCCUGUGGAAAGAUGGCCAUGGAUUUAAGGGGGAGACCUUUUUUCCGAGAUUACCUUUGUAAAUCUGGAUGUGGUCAGGGUGGGUGGAGGGUAAUCUUAGCCACCCACAGGAGAGAUCCUUCUAGACAAUGAAGCAACACUGAGGACGGCAGAGCCAUGCCCUUGUUCUUCAAAUUACGCAAGUAGGUCAAGUCCCUUUCUUCCCCUUAAGCCAGAGGUUGUCUGAAACUUUCAACUGGAGUAUGCAUAACACACCUGUGUGGAUUGAAGUGUGUCUCCCAGAAAGACGUGUCCAACUCCCAACCUCUGGUACCUGUGAGUGUGACCUUAUUUGGAGUUAGGGUCUUUGCAGAUGUGAUCAGGCUAAGAUGAGGCCCCAUUAGAUUAGGCUGAGGACGAAGACACACACAGGAGGUAACACCGUGUAGUGAUGGAGGUAGAGAUUGGAGUGAUGCAUCCACAAGCCAAGGCAUGCCAGGAGCCACCAGGAGCUCGGAGAGAGGCGUGGAAAUUCCCUCAGAUUCUCUCUCAGAAACUCCAGAAGAAGCCAACCCCACUGACACCUGAAUUUUGACCUUCUAGUUUCCAGAACCCUGGGAGAAUAAAUUUCUGUUGUUUCGAGCCAUCCGGUUGGUGGUGCUCUGUUACAGCAGCCCUAGGAACCUAAUACAACCCCUCGCUGAUGGUGUUGGCCAUGGAAUCACCUACCCCUUCCUUCCGAGAAACACAUGCAGGAGACUUUUAGGAAACGCUCUCGGUGGUACCCCUAUUUGACCUAAAGAUGCAGUUUGAGGAGUUGUUUGCAUCCGAUCCCUGGCUUUUUGGCUCUCCUGCUCAACUCUCCCCCCAGCACCUAUGCUGAAAGACAUCUUAGUGUAGGCCCUCACCAUAUCUUGCCUAACUUGCAAAAAAUCGUCUGCUGUCUUUUUCUCUCUUGGUUCAUAUUCCAUACUGCCACUUUCCCCCAAAACCAACUGAUUCCAUCUGUCCUCUUGUUAAAACUCUCCAUUGGUUACCCAGGCCCUACAGAAAGCUCUAUCACAUGUGAUCGGAGAAUCUGAAGAAUCUCAUGUCAGCUUAUCUCUGUCCUGUCUAUUCUCAUUCCCUUGCCAUGUGCCCCAUCCCUUUGUUUUUUUAAUGAAAUGACCUGCAUGUA